AUCAGCUGUAUCUAAACAGAGCAGAGCUCAGGUGACAUCACAGAACAGGCAGAGGCAGUUCAGGGGUAUUCUGGUUGCCUUACCCAGCUCUGAAGUCUGUCAGCCUCUUCAGAUGUCACUUGCCAUGUGGUAAGGAAGUGUAGUCAGCAGCUGGUGCAGUGGGAAGAAGAGAAAGGAAGUUCCCCAAGACAAAAACAUCUCGGCAGACCGUGAUCAUGGGCUACAUUCUCCGUACCAGCUUCAUAGCUCCAGUGAGAAAAUAAAUUCCUGCAUCCAGGAGAUGUGGAGUAAGAGAUACAGCUGCCCUUGACCAUAUUUCUUACUUCCGAGAAGAUCGUAGCAGUAAUUCAGAAUCUCAUCCAGGAUACCUCAUCACAGGCUGGAGUGCAGUGUCAUGAGCUUGGCUCACUACAGCCUCCAUCUUCUGUGCUUAAGGAUCCUUCCCUCUCAACCUCCAAGGUAGCUGAGACUACAGGCAACAUUCGAAACCCAGGUGCCACUCCUUCAGGAAGGUACCAUCAAGCUCCAAGGACUCAUCCUCUUUCUCCUUCCCCACUACCUAGUCAUUAGAGCGUCAGCAUCCACUUCCUGAAAGGAAGAUGCCUGUUUUUCACAUAUCCCAGAAAGCCUCAUUUUAGGACAGCAUUUAGCAGAGUGUAUUCAGGAUCCCACUAACCUUUUCGGAAGACAUGACUUCCAGAUGAUAUAAGGCAAGAAUAAGAAAUUUCAGUGACAGGGAACAGAAAUCAUAUUUCUGCAUUCAGGAUCAUGUUUUCUUGGCUCCAUCAGGAACUGUGCAGGACUGUGCACUCUGUUGAUACUCACAUGGUGGAAUUAUAUUGCCCUUGGCCAACCCUAAAGCCAUCAAGAUAGCAGCAACUACUCUAUCAUUACUGUACCACCACCUGUAUGGAUCUCGUUGCCCAUAUGAAACUGAGUAAGGAACAAUGUGCAUCACACUCACAGAGAAAGAUGGACAAGUUUGGAAUAAUUCACUGUCGAAGUCUUCUUGAGCUGAGCAGUCAUGUGAGCUUGGAAGAUGAUCCCUCUCCAGCUGAUCCUUCAGCUCAGGCCAUCAUCUACAUCUGGAUUCCUGACCCGGAGAAACUAUGAGUAAUGUGUGCUGCUUUUGAGCCACUAAGCUACAUGAAUUAAUGAAGGAUCAUUAUUAAGUUUUUAAUGGGUCAAGAGAAAGUUACCACUGAGGUCUUCUCUACCUGGGCAACAAUUGACUCCUAACAACCACUAUAAGCUUGGAAGAUGAUCCCUCCCCAGCUGAUCCUUCAGUUCACAUGAAGCAUUUGGAAGUAAACACACGAUGGACUGAACACUUUGCUGCUUAGAAACUUCUUCUUCCAGAUUCCCUAGUUCAUCAUUAAGUAGUUAGGCCUCUCACAAAGCCCUUGGUCACGGAUACAGAUGGCUGAGUGUUCUGGCUGAUGAACAUGGGUUACUUAACCAGAGUUAAGCGAGGACUUUCUCACCUGAAACCACCAAGAGACACAAAAGCCAGAAAAGGACAGAAAUUAAUUCAAGGGUCAACAAAUAGAGUCGGCUUUCUUUAAGACCUGAAGUGUAGAAGUCUAGGUUGAACCCUAGGUUGAUUACGUUGAAGACUACAUUCUCCUGUGAAGCAAGCAUUCCUAAAGGGUCUCUACUUUUUGUAGCCUGGGGAUUUUCUACUCCCCCAACAGCCAGAUGAGGCAGAAACCCCUACAGACAUCCCUAUGUGCCUCCUGUGCAAGUGCAGUUGCCCCUUGAAGGCAGUUCUCCUGCUGCAGACCACGCCCACCAAGGGCAGAGUCACAGCCACUGCAGCUGAGCUCAGAGCCUUCUGUGGGGUCUGCAGGGGCAAGGCCAGCUGUCCCCUGGGAUAGUUUGAAGAAUGCAGUUUGUUUGUAUAAUAAAGAUGUUUCUCUACGUCAUUCAUCUUGCUAAUCAAGGACGUUUAACAGCUUCAGACUUUCCUGGUAAUAUUUGUUCUUGCCUUUUUUUGGCAAAUAUAGUUAACACUUCUAUGCAUUUUUUACCUCACAUAAACAUCAUCUAAAACCAUUCAUAUUUCUGUAUUGCGUAUUAAUGCUUUUCAUUCCUGUAUAUAAAAAUGCAUUCAUAAUCGCUUUUCAAAAUACAUUUUCAGUUACCUUUUCAAGCAUCAUUCUUUACUAAUUGAAUGGAAAUAUCACUUUUAUUGAGAAAGACAGAUGUUACACAAUUUUCAUUUUAGUAUUUUCUAGAAAUUUGCUGUGAAAUACCUCAGGUUGAAAAGGAGAGGGACACAGGCUUUUGUGAGGACCAUAAGACAAAAUUUACUGAGAGUCACAUGCUUAAAAUAAUCUUUCAUUGUUUGCACUAUAUGGCUUAGUUUGUUCUAAUUGUGAAAGGUCACAGGCAUUAAUUUGUGUGGAGGCAACACCAAAAAUCCCAUUGUGAAUGCAGAGAAUCACUUUGUUACUGUGCAAGUAAGAAUGUCCUCAUAUUGUUUGUUUUUAUUCUUACCAAAAAGCUGUAGACAUUGUCUGGAAUCUUUGAUUCCUUCCAACUUGUUUUUG
rnacentral:lncRNA from 1 species